CUCUUUCCGCAUCUUUCCCUCACUCUCUGUCUCUCACCACUCACCCUUCCACAGGAGCCUUACUAUACAGAGAGACAUGAGAGUUUCCAUGUACUCAGGUGUUUGCCGUACUGAUAUAUUCCUGCUCCCUCUGCAUAAAUUUCACAUAGAACAUUCCAAGGAGCCCCAGCCUCUUUUCACAUGUGCCUCCACUCCUUAGUAAUUAGAGAAAUCUGAAACAAAUCAUUCAUAUCUUGGAGUGUAUGUUUGAUAGCCCACACCAUAUCCCCUAGACUAAGAAAGAGACUGGUUUUAGAGUACAGUUACUCAAUCCUGACAAGCCAUUUAGCCAUUUACAGAAUUAAAGAGACUCCAAGAGGCUGGAGUUUGGAGGUUAUACCUGACUAAAUUGAGAGGAAGCAUGAGAUUGAAGGUUACUAGGAGGAAGAGUAUACUUGAUUUUUUGAUUUGCUUUGCUUUUUCUUCUCAGUCUUGUUUUAUAAAUUUUGAAGCCCUUUUAUUUACAACUUCUCUGUAGGAAUGGUUGUUGAUCUACAAGCUCUUAGAAUAUAGACAGUGUUAGCUGUGCUUAAGCAGGUUACUCCCUUCAGCCAGGUCAAAACAUUACCCAGAGCAGAAAAUGCAUCAUUUCAUGACAGCACUUCUGGAAAAGUGGGAAAGGAAAAUGGUACACAGAGGAAGUUGCCAUCAAAAGCACACAAAGGAAACAGCAAGCAGACAAGGGAAUAACCUUUCUUUGAAAUAAGGCAAAAUGAGAUAUUUACAUUACUUUAAGACAUUUAAAGAGAACUUUUACUGGUACAAUUUUCCUGAAUAAGGGAAUCCUUAGAAACUUUGUCAUAGAAACAUUUCUUUGCAGAAUAGGAAAAGAGUUUCAGGACUUCCCCCAGCAGCCCACCACCCGAGAUUCAAAUAACCUCAAGUUAUUUGAGUCAGAGACCAGUUCAUGCUUUGAGGAGAGAUGUUUAAAUCUGUGGGGGCUUUUUGCAACAAUAUUGUCACAGGUUGGCCUUAGUAAACCUACACAUCUUAUCAAGCACAAUGUCUUCCAGAACAUUUUUCCCAGGGAAAAAUAUCUCAGAAAUCAGUCUCAGAAAUCAAAAGCCCUGCAUUUGCCUACACUAAUUAGUUCUAGGAAUGGGGGCAGGGGAGGGGGAAGAAGGGAAGUUUCAAGAAUGCUACAUACAAGACAUGAUUGUUUGGCUAAUCAGUAGAAAGUUGAAAAUAUUCACCAAAGGGUGUGGGAAGCCUUUCUUUGGAAACAGCAUCUCCAUUUCAUGUCACUGAAUUUUAAAUGAUGUGUACCUAUUGCAAAAAGUCUCAAAGCUUUUAAUUUUGCCUCUUUCCCUGCCACCAAAAGCUCCUGCCAGUGGGUGAGCCUUUCUGAUGGAAAAUGAGCAAACGCUUAAAUGAAUGUGUCUCCUCUUGAACGGCUUUGGAGAAUCCAAUAGGACCUUCUGCUUUAGACAAGUGUUUGAUUUUUAAAGAGGCAGGAACAAUAACAACUUACUGUUCUGGAAAGAUAAUGACCUAUCUCAAAGAAGGGUCAAGGAAAUAGUAAAUAAUCUUCAACAGAAAAGGGAAAAUCUAGAGAAAGUAGAAAAUGGGGAUGGUAUUACAUCCUCCAAAUCGCCACCUCCCGCCUAAAGGAGGAGGAAAAAGUCCAUACACUCAUGAGGACCUCCUCAUGUCCCUCUUCAUAGGAACCGAGCGCUCCUCUAGGGAUUUUCUUGUUCCCAGGAGGUGAUCAGAGUUAGGAAUUACACUUACUGACCUGGACCUCGCGUUUUUGCGGAGACGCGGAAACAAGAUGUGUGCAGUCCGUCUGUCCGAUGAUUAGCCAGCCGACCUGGAGAGGGCCCUGGAAGGUGCCCAAAGGAGCAGAGAUGGGGAGCUGGAUCCGCGCAGAACCCCGGAAAAGCGCCAGCAGGAUUGCACCGAGAACAAAUCCUCCGCACCCUCGCCCAGGGCUGGGGCGCAGUGCGCUGGUGCUCCUCUAGCUGGGCGGUCCCUGUGCUCCAAACGAGAAGAUAGCUGACUUCCGAAUCCUUCACUCUUUGAUCCUGACCCAAGCCACUCGUGCCACUAGGAGCGCAUGCCUAUGGAAUACUCGCUCCUGUCUCCUUGUGGUGAAGCCUUCCGCUAAUGCCCAGAGCCUCCCAGGCUGGAUUAGUGGGUAGGAGCAAAACAGGAUAGUGGAGACAAUCAGCAGAGCAGCAGCGUCUAUUUCCUCGGGAUUCCUCCCAGGAACCCUAUUCGAAGCCAUUCCUUCUAAAAGUUUGCAGCCAGUCUCUCUUUCCUUUGUUGGUUUUAAGAGGAGGCAGUAGAGCUACCUACAUACAAAAACGAAAGCCUGAUACUGGUAACCUAAGUCUUUACUUAACCAUCCUCUUCGGAGGCUUUGCACACAUUACUUUUCCUCUAUGCAUUGUCAUUUCUGAAAUAAGGAUGGUCAUACUGGUGUGCUUGGAAUUUCUCUGAAAUAUACUCCUAAAAGAUUAGAUUAAGAUUAGAUUCCGCUACUCUAAAAUGAAAAAAAAUAUUUAUCUGUUUAAAAAGGUAAUACAUAUUCUCCAAGAUGUUAAUUAAAGGCUUCCCUCAAAUGGAUUGGAUUUUCAGUUCCUUCAGGGUUUUCCACACCCUAAUAGUAUUGCAUUUGUAAGGCAUUUUUACAGUGUAA
rnacentral:lncRNA from 1 species